CCUACGGGAGGCAGCAGUAGGGAAUAUUGGUCAAUGGAUGCAAGUCUGAACCAGCCAUGCCGCGUGCAGGAAGAAGGCCUUCUGGGUUGUAAACUGCUUUUGCCGGGGGAUAAAAUUCCCAUGCGUGGGACAUUGAAGGUACCCGGUGAAUAAGCCACGGCUAACUACGUGCCAGCAGCCGCGGUAAUACGUAGGUGGCAAGCGUUGUCCGGAUUUAUUGGGUUUAAAGGGUGCGUAGGCGGCCUAUUAAGUCAGUUCUGAAAUAUCCCGGCUUAACCGGGAGGGUGGGAUUGAUACUGAUGGGCUUGAGUGGAGUCGAGGUAGGCGGAAUUGACGGUGUAGCGGUGAAAUGCUUAGAUAUCGUCAAGAACACCGAUAGUGUAGACAGCUUACUAGACUUCAACUGACGCUGAGGCACGAAAGUGUGGGGAUCAAACAGG
rnacentral:rRNA from 1 species